AGAGUGAACGCUGGCGGUAGGCCUAACACAUGCAAGUCGAACGGCAGCACAGUGGUAGCAAUACCAUGGGUGGCGAGUGGCGGACGGGUGAGGAAUACAUCGGAAUCUACCUUUUCGUGGGGGAUAACGUAGGGAAACUUACGCUAAUACCGCAUACGCCCUUCGGGGGAAAGCCGGGGAUCGCAAGACCUGGCGCGGAUAGAUGAGCCGAUGUCGGAUUAGCUAGUUGGUGAGGUAAUGGCUCACCAAGGCGACGAUCCGUAGCUGGUCUGAGAGGAUGAUCAGCCACACUGGAACUGAGACACGGUCCAGACUCCUACGGGAGGCAGCAGUGGGGAAUAUUGGACAAGUGGGCG
rnacentral:rRNA from 1 species